AUGGCGGCGGCGGGCCCAGCCAAGACGGAGGUGCUGUCCCUCUUCCGCGCCUUCCUCCGCACGGCGAGGCAGUUCUCCGACUACAACAUCCGCGAGUACACGCGGCGCCGCGCGGCGGACGCCUUCCGCGAGAACCGCGCCCUCGCCGACGCGCCGGCCGCGGCGGCGGCCUUCGCGGACGGGAAGCAGCAGCUGGAGGUGGCCAAGAGGCAGGUGCUGGUCUACUCUCUGUACGCGCCCAAGGCCAAGAGCGUUGUGGAGAUGAAGAUUCAGUGA
rnacentral:rRNA from 1 species